rnacentral:rRNA from 1 species
UACGUAGGGGCAAGCGUUAUCCGGAUUUACUGGGUGUAAAGGGAGCGCAGACGGAACUGCAAGUCUGAUGUGAAAGCCCGGGGCUCAACCGCGGGACUGCAUUGGAAACUGUAGAUCUGGAGUGCCGGAGGGGCAAGCGGAAUUCCUGGUGUAGCGGUGAAAUGCGUAGAUAUCAGGAGGAACACCAGCGGCGAAGGCGGCUUGCUGGACGGCAACUGACGUUGAGGCUCAAAGCGUGGGGAGCAAACAGGAUUAGAUACCCU